UCUUAGAUUCCUUAAUUUGAU
rnacentral:piRNA from 1 species